rnacentral:rRNA from 1 species
GAUGAACGCUGGCGGCGUGCUUAACACAUGCAAGUCGAACGAAGCACUUGAAACAGAUUCUUCGGAUGAAGUUUCCUGUGACUGAGUGGCGGACGGGUGAGUAACGCGUGGGUAACCUGCCUCAUACAGGGGGAUAACAGCUAGAAAUGGCUGCUAAUACCGCAUAAGCGCACGGCAUCGCAUGAUGCAGUGUGAAAAACUCCGGUGGUAUGAGAUGGACCCGCGUUGGAUUAGCUAGUUGGCAGGGUAACGGCCUACCAAGGCGACGAUCCAUAGCCGGCCUGAGAGGGUGGACGGCCACAUUGGGACUGAGACACGGCCCAGACUCCUACGGGAGGCAGCAGUGGGGAAUAUUGCACAAUGGGGGAAACCCUGAUGCAGCGACGCCGCGUGAGCGAAGAAGUAUUUCGGUAUGUAAAGCUCUAUCAGCAGGGAAGAAAAUGACGAUACCUGACUAAGAAGCCCCGGCUAACUACGUGCCAGCCGCCGCCGUAAUAC